rnacentral:rRNA from 1 species
AAUGGGGGCAACCCUGAUCCAGCCAUGCCGCGUGUGUGAAGAAGGCCUUCGGGUUGUAAAGCACUUUAAGCGAGGAGGAAGGUCUUUGAACUAAUAUUUCAAAGAAUUGACGUUACUCGCAGAAUAAGCACCGGCUAACUCUGUGCCAGCAGCCGCGGUAAUACAGAGGGUGCAAGCGUUAAUCGGAAUUACUGGGCGUAAAGCGCGCGUAGGCGGUAUGUUAAGUCGGAUGUGAAAUCCCUGGGCUCAACCUAGGCAUUGCAUCCGAUACUGGCACACUAGAGUGUGGGAGAGGAAGGUAGAAUUCCAGGUGUAGCGGUGAAAUGCGUAGAGAUCUGGAGGAAUACCGAUGGCGAAGGCAGCCUUCUGGCCUAACACUGACGCUGAGGUGCGAAAGCAUGGGGAGCAAA